GACGAACGCUGGCGGCGUGCUUAACACAUGCAAGUCGAGCGGUAAGGCCCCUUCGGGGGUACGACGAGCGGCGAACGGGUGAGUAACACGUGGGUGACCUGCCCUCAGCUCUGGGAUAAGCCUGGGAAACUGGGUCUAAUACCGGAUAUGACUCCAUGACGCAUGUUGUGGGGUGGAAAGCCUUGUGCGGCUGAGGAUGGGCCCGCGGCCUAUCAGCUUGUUGGUGGGGUGAUGGCCUACCAAGGCGACGACGGGUAGCCGGCCUGAGAGGGCGACCGGCCACACUGGGACUGAGACACGGCCCAGACUCCUACGGGAGGCAGCAGUGGGGAAUCUUGCGCAAUGGGCGAAAGCCUGACGCAGCGACGCCGCGUGAGGGAUGACGGCCU
rnacentral:rRNA from 1 species